GUUGAAAGGACAUCGAGAAACAGCCAUGACUUUGCUGCUAACCCUCGCUAUUUUCGUCGUCCUUGCGACAGUUACAAGUCAGCAGGAGCUGCAGGGCGUAGAUCCCGAUCAUAGCAGAACUCAAGGGCGAAGCCUUCAUCAAACGCUCUUUGGAAGAGGUCGAUGGGGUGCACAAUGCGGUGGUCCGUGCCAAGGAUUGCCCUCGGCUUGCCCUCCUGGUUGUGUAUGCUCAGACCUUCGGGAUUGCAUUAAAACGUUGUGAUUAAAGCAUUCUGUCGCAGACUCCAA